GAUUCUGGCUCAAGGAACGAACGCUGGCGGCGCGUUUAAGCAUGCAAGUCGAGCGGCAAGGGCCUUCGGGCCCCUAGAGCGGCGGACGGGUGAGUAACACGUGGACAAUCUGCCCCCCGGCCCGGGAUAGCCCAGGGAAACCUGGAUUAAUACCGGAUGAGACGGGACCUGCGAUGGCGGGAUCCGGGAAAGGCGCUACGGCGCCGCCGGGGGAUGAGUCUGCGUCCCAUUAGCUAGACGGCGGGGUAACGGCCCACCGUGGCGACGAUGGGUAGCCGGCCUGAGAGGGUGGACGGCCACAUUGGAACUGAGACACGGUCCAGACUCCUACGGGAGGCAGCAGCUAAGAAUCUUCCGCAAUGGGCGAAAGCCUGACGGAGCGACGCCCGCGUGAACGAAGAAGGCCGUGAGGUUGUAAAGUUCUUUUCGGGAGGGGGAACAACCGUGGCAGGGAAUGGCCGCGGGAUGACGUGAAUCCCGGAAUAAGCCCCGGCUAACUACGUGCCAGCAGCCGC
rnacentral:rRNA from 1 species